UACGUAGGGUGCAAGCGUUGUCCGGAAUUAUUGGGCGUAAAGAGCUCGUAGGCGGUCUGUCGCGUCGGCUGUGAAAACCCGGGGCUCAACCCCGGGCCUGCAGUCGAUACGGGCAGACUAGAGUGUGGUAGGGGAGACUGGAAUUCCUGGUGUAGCGGUGAAAUGCGCAGAUAUCAGGAGGAACACCGGUGGCGAAGGCGGGUCUCUGGGCCGAUAUUGACGCUGAGGAGCGAAAGCGUGGGGAGCAAACAGG
rnacentral:rRNA from 1 species